UUUCUGGUAUUGUCAAGAAGAAAGUGCUUUAAAGAAAUGCACAGCCAAAGAUGAUUGAAGAUCUGUGCUCACAAUGUGUGAUAAAUUUGUCAGCAAUUAAUUUAUUAAUGAAAGUCAUAAUAAAUAGAGGAAGCCUCUUAGGAUAUACAACUGGAAAUCCCAUAGGUAUUUCAAUUUCUUGAACACUUGGCUAUGUGAACAGAAUUUUCAUUAAAAUGCAUGCAUUUUUGUGCUGGUAAUUCAGUCUGAAAAGAAAGCUGCUGGGUUUUUUCCUCUGUUCAUACAUGCCCUUGAAGUAUUUUUGGCAGCAAUACCAGGAAGACAGUCACUUCACCAGUGAUUCUCAGUGCUGCAUGGCUGAGGAUGGGGAGUGUUUACGGUUCCUUAAUGGCAGCAUUGAUUUUUAGCAAUUUUUAAAUAAAAAACAGAAUGCUGUCACAUCUCCCAGCUCAGGGAGCAAGUAAUUCCUGUGGCUCACAUGGUCCCUCUGAUUAAGUGCUUCUUGCUGCUUUCAGGCAGCCAUUUGCUGCCCUGCAGUGUUCUCUAAUUCACACACACUUGUGUGCAUCUCCAUUUAAUUUGUCUCUCCCCCACUCAGCCUGCUGUGCACCAGAAUAUGGAGGAGCAGAUUUAACCUCACAGGGAUCUGCUGUGGCCAGCAUUUCAUGGACAGAGGCCAAGACUAUUGCUUACUCUGAUAAUUUUAGUAACAAUACACCACAGAAACAUUACCCAGUUUUUCAGCUCUAGACUGAUCUUGAUCAGGAAAAAACCCUCCAUGUGUUGUGAUUCGAAUAGUCCUCAACCUCUUUUAGCACAAGCAGGGUUAAAUAUUGAAGGGAUGUACUUUUCAUUUUCUGUCAUGGAAGUACAAGUGGUAACAGUGAUGACUGUGUAACUCAGGAGGUGAAAAAUGACCAACCAGUGAUGAGCAAACACUGGCAGAAAACAUAAAUGCAGACACAUAAUUCACAGGCCAGACAGCAAGAGAUAAGGCACUGCAUACGAAUCAGAAUAUGUGGGUGUGAGAGCAAGCAAGUGCUGAAGAAGAGAAUCUGUCUGCUUCACUGAAAGUGCAAUUACACAGAAAGCUCUUCUGACUGCAUUUCAUCAGUAAAUACUACCCAGUGGCAUAAAACUGGUAAAAAAACCCCAAAGAGAUGUAUGGAAAUGGCAGGCUUACUUCCAGGCAAAAUAAAUUACAAUGAGUCAAAAAUACCAAUAUAUAACAUCUGCCUUACAAAUAACUGGCUUUGUUCUUGUUUCUUUCAGAGAAUGUUUAAUUUUUGCUCAGACUUAGAUGUUUUGUUCUGGUUUCAGCAGACCAUUUGAACAAGACUGUGCUUUCUGGAUAUCAAUCACCUAGGGCAAAGAAGCCUUGUGGAGGUCACUGGAGAGGAGCUGCAUCUCAGUCAGCUCUGGCAGUGCUCCUGUGGCCAGUGUCAUGGUCUCUGCUGCUCCAUCUGCAAAGCCUCUGGUGCUGCUUCUUCCGCUGUGCCCCGUGUCACCAGGGAGCCCCAGGGCUGCUGUGUCACAGUGCUCAGUGUCCCUCUGCUGACUCACCACUGCCCUUGCAAAACUUCCACAAGGAAUAAACCCUAGAGGGAAAAAUGUUUGAGUUUUUUGUGUAUUUGAGUUUUUUGGCAUUUUUACCCAAGCCAAAUAGUCCCAACUGUUGACCCUGGUCAGAGUGAGAUUCCAGAAAGGAGCAUUUGGAAUGGUUUCCUUAGCAAAGCCAUUAUGACAGGGAAAUCAUGGAACCAUUAGGUUGAGAAAGAACCUCAAGAUCACCAAAUCCAACCAAUGACCCAGCACUGCCAAGUCCAGCACUAAAGCAUGUCCCUAAGUGCCACAUCUACACAUCUUUUAAAUACCUCCAGGGGUGGUAAUGUCAUUGGAUGGCCAAUUGAGACAUCCCCUGAAAUACUACUUCACUAACUGUUAUCUCUACUAGUCACUGAUGUGUACUAUAAAGAAUACAGGUUUCUGUUAUUAUUUGAUUAAAUUGAUUUUUACAUGUCAAUAUUCUGGUUGUCUCUGAAAUCUCAUAUUUAUUUCUUAUUAUAUGUUUGAUAAAGUGGUGGCUUUCUUUUCUUUGCUUUGGACUUUUGACAUGUUUUAGGGGGAAAUGCAUCACCAAGAUUUACCAUGUUGGAGCCUUGAAGGACCAAAUACUAUUUGUGGGAUGCACAAUUAUGGUGCUACCAGAAGAGAUUCCAUUUAUGUUUUCCACACACUACUAAAAAUGUUUUUAACAAAACAUAUUGUCACUGGACAAGAAAGUGGCAUUAGCUUUUCUGACAGUUCUCCUUCUAGAAAGCUAUUAUAAAUUUAAGAUAUUGUAGUACAACCUCUUGUUGCUUUUAACCUAAAUUGAUUAAAAAUUUAACCUAAAAGCAACAAGAGGUUGCAAGAAAAAGGCUGCAAGGCCCCCCCCCCCAAAAAAAAAAAUCUCCAUAGACUGAUGCCUUUCAUUAUCAGGAAAAACCGACUUUCAUGUGAAUUCUUAAUUAAUGCUUCAAAUAAUCUUUGAGCAUUUCACAGUGUUCCACCCAUUUUUUUUGGAACCCCUAAUCCUGAUCAGUCAAUAUAUAUGAAUUUCAGCCCAAGCCAUCUUGACCAAAAGGCCAUUUAAUCAUUUUACUCUAUUAAAUAUAAUUUUAAGAAAAUGAAACACUCCCUAUAGCACACUUCCAUUUAAACAAAGCCCUAAUAAAGCAGAGAGAGGGAGAACAAAGGCAGCUGGGAAGGUUCAGGAUGCAGACUUAAUCUGCUUUCUGGUGCCUAAGGCCUGGCUGCUCUCUUGUGUAAGUGAUUGUGUGAGCUCCUGAGCUAAAUGUAGCCCUGACUACACUUAAUGAACCUUAAGAGUGCAAUCAAAAAGACAAAUAUGGUAUGUCUGAAAAUGUGAGGGUUUUUUCUUCUUUGAAGACCUUUGGAGUCCUCUUCUUCAUCUUGAUAAAAGCACUAUUAUUCCCAGCAGUGUUUGCCACUGAAACUGUGUUCCAGCCUGAUAUUGAAACCACAAAAAUCUGAGUAAUCACCCUGUUUUAUUCUUUACAUUGACCAGUGUCUCUACUAUGGCGUCACUGAAGGAAAAGGAAACAAUAUUCUGAAGACUCUAACAUAGGUUAAUUUAACAUAAUCUCUGGCUUCAGCCUACAGUACUUGUGAGAAAAAUAUAUUAAUAUGGGACUUUACUGUUCUCAGAGUAGCCUUUGUCAGGAGUUUGAAAUGUCUGAAACAAGAUAUUUAAAGAAUCCUUAAAAGUGUGUUUCAGUCUUCUGAUCGUUCUUCAUUUUUUAGAGCUUUUCUGAGAAAAAAUCAGCCUUCACUUCUGAAGAAGUAAGAAACCAGUCACAUUUCUGAGAAACUGCAUUUCUUCUCUUGUAAACUACCCCCUGGCUGUAGUUGAUACUAUGCUCUGUUGGAUUUUGCAUCUUUGGCUCUGAACACAGUGAUCAGUAUCUAUGGACCUAUUUUACAAAAUUAAUUUCAGCAAGGAAAAGAACAGCAUAUUUGGGUUUAAAAAGACCUUUUACAUUCUUCCCUUUUCUACCUCCUGUAAGCACAAGUUCAUUUCUACAGUACACUCCUUGCUCCAUAAAUCUUUGCUUAAAAAUCUAGGGCUUUACAUCUCUGAGAAAACUGCAGCAGAGCAACACUUUUUCCUUACACAUUUUCCUGAGUCAAAAUUUCUUCCUAAUCAGCUGUGCACAUUGAUAUGCUGUUCUACUUUACUAUCUUCUGUUUCUGUUCUUUGCAAGGACCAAGAGGUUUUUACAAAACUUUUCCUUUAGUAACUAUUUUCAGCUCUUAACCUGUGUGGUCCCCAAAAGCAGUGAAAAUACAGACUCCAUUUUUAUUUACUUUUCAUAUUUUUUUAAGAAACACAGCACCACUAUGCUUUCUUAUUCACAAAAAACAUCUUUAAUAUGUCACAAAUAUUAUGACCACAACUUUUUAAGCAACUCUCAUGUACAUAUUCCAGUUUCUUCUGAAUGCAGAAAUACUUGCUUCUGCCAAACUACACUUUCUUUGUGAAAUGUCACAUUGAUGCUUUCAUAGAGUAAUUUAUCCAGCUUUCUCUGAUAAUUUUCACAUGUUCAUAUGUAUAUACUUGCCACAAAUUCUGUUCUUGGGGUUCAUCAUGUCUGGGUUUAUACAUACUGGCAAUAAACUAAAAUUUUACUGCUUCUGGAGACUUAGAUCAGGUUUUUUAGUAAUUUGCUGUGAUCUUCCCUCUAUAGGCAUAUAGAAGUGCUGUGAAAAUGGGUCUACAAUGGUCUUUUAAAUCAAAUGGAUUGAUGGUUCAUCAACCUGAAAGUAUAGAUAGGUGAAAAAGGAGAAGAAAACAAGGGACAACAGGAUACUCACAGAGAAACAGCAGAGCUCUUCUGGAGACUGGAAACACCUUCAAUUUUGAACUUGAGACCAGAGGAGGACAAGUAUAUUGAUUUUUUUUUUUCAUAAUUGUAGUACACUUUCAUAUUACCCACUCUGAUAGCUCCAUCAGGUUGGAGCUUGAUUACCUUUUUCUUAAGACAAAAUAAUUUGCCUACACUUUUCAAUAAGUUUGUGAAUAUGAAGUAACUUUGAUGAAAAAGAAAAAAAAAUUAAAGAUAAUUAAUUUUGUAUUAUAAAACUGUGGGUUACCUUGAUCUUUUUAACAUACUCAUAGAAUCAUAAGAUUUUUUGGGUUGAAUGGGAUCUUUAAAGGUCAGGUAAUCUAAACCCCCUGCAGUGAGCAGUACAAAUAAACACUAACAUACCAACACUAGCAACAUGCUUUGGAUCCUCCUAAUUUUUGAUGACUAGCGAGGAGUGUAUACCAUUGACAGUAGCCAAAAGAUUCCUGACUCAUUUUCCCUGGUUAAAUUCUCUAACAAUAAUAACAUAUAUUGAACAAACACAUUCAAAGAAUAUUCCCAGUGCAUACAGGUUCCAUUGAAAUUUCUCUAAAUGUUUCCUAGCAGAACUCUUUGAUUUGUGUUCUUGAUCAAGAUCAAAAGCAUGAUGUUUCCUUUUGAAUUGUAAAACUCUGAAUACCAUUAAAAUGCAUUUUCAUAUGAGACCAAACAUCAGGGUUUUCUUCUCUCAACCUCAUUCUCAGAAAUGGUUGAAAUACAAAAACUGAAAUAUUAGGAUACAAUUCAAGGUACAAUUCAAGUAAUGAGUGGAAUAGAAAACUUUCAUGUAAAACUGUUGACAGUUAGAAAAGUUCUAAGGAAUUGGAAGUAAAGCCUUUGCACAUGAAGCAGUUCUUUUCAAGUUUGUCGCGGAC